AAGAGAGCAAGUCGAUAGGGAGCAAAAUAAAGAAAGUCCUAUCCUGAUAUCAGAGCAAUGUACAAGUUGAUAUACUAUCAGUAAAAGAACAAAGAGUAUACAAUCCAAAAUUUCAACAAAUGGAGAAGAAGUAUGAACUAUAACAUCUGGAUCUACAACUCUUAUACAACACAGGGUACACAAAAAUAUCUGUACAAUGGUAGUCACUCUAUACAAUGGACAUCACCCUCGGCCGUAGCCCGAGUAGCAAGGUGUCGACUAGCACGCUCCUAGCAAAGUCUAGCUAGACGCGACUCCCUUGCCACGAUCCCUAGCCUCUCCCGUAGAUUGCUCUGUAAAAACAACCACCAAAAGGGCGUGAGAACUAUAAACAAUAGUUUCCAGUAGGUAAGCCGCCAGCCUCGGCGAAUUACACCACUAGGCUCAUGAUGUACUAAAUGAAAGCGAAAGCAGUAAUUGCAUGAUAUAUAAUUAUGCAAUGCUAACAGGUAAUGAGCAUGUAAGCAACAUGUAAUCAUAGUCUCAACAGUAAUAAAUCAACUGAAUAAUAGAUGCAUAGCAACUAUAUAAGCAUAACAUAAGUAUAAACGUGUAAGUAACUACUAUACACUGUAACUGGUAGUCAUUUAUUACUGUCCAAUUUUCUUUAGCACUUUUCUUUCAUUCACAGGGAUCUACUCAAGGUAGUCCAGCUUGCGCCGCGCCUAAUGGCCCCGUGGUAGUAUACACUCCCCACGGCAAUCCACUUCGGCACCCAAUCCCGCACGGGCGAGCAACUGUCGCGUAGGCCAACUCCGGAGUGCCGGCUUGUAGGGAGCUACCCUCACAAGCAUGUGCGAAUGAGCACGAUGGCAAGCAAGCAAAGUCCACAAUCCAACAUAUCUCAACUAGCACAAUUAAGCUCACAAUAUUCUCGCUCUCGAUCCUUUGAACGGAAUUUCAAUACACAAAGAGUAACAAGAUCUAGUAUCCACUAGAUUGUAAACAUGUAAGAG
rnacentral:lncRNA from 1 species